rfam:Camelus ferus unplaced genomic scaffold scaffold465, whole genome shotgun sequence.
GGAGGUGUAGCUCAGUGGUGGAGUGCCUGCUUAGCAUGCACUAGGUUCUGGGUUCCAUCCCCAGUACCUCCA